AGCAGCCGCGGUAAUUCCAGCUCCAAUAGCGUAUAUUAAAGUUGUUGCAGUUAAAAAGCUCGUAGUUGAAUUUCGGGGUCAGUAGAUUGGUCGUGCCACUGGUAUGUACUGGUCUUACUGGCUCCUCCUUCCUGAUGAACCGUAAUGCCAUUAAUUUGGUGUUGCGGGGAAACUGGACUGUUACUUUGAAAAAAUUAGAGUGUUUAAAGCAGGCUAACGCUUGAAUACAUUAGCAUGGAAUAAUGAAAUAGGACGUUCGAUCUUAUUUUGUUGGUUUCUAGGAUUGACGUAAUGAUUAAUAGGGAUAGUUGGGGGCAUUAGUAUUCAAUUGUCAGAGGUGAAAUUCUUGGAUUUAUUGAAGACUAACUACUGCGAAAGCAUUUGCCAAGGAUGUUUUCAUUAAUCAAGAACGAAAGUUAGGGGAUCGAAGACGAUCAGAUACCGUCGUAG
rnacentral:rRNA from 1 species